rnacentral:rRNA from 1 species
CCCCUAGAUGUUCUGGGCCGCACGCGCGCUACACUGACGAAGUCAGCGAGCAUGUCCUACGCCGACAGGUGCGGGGAAUCUUGUCAAACUUCGUCGUGAUGGGAAUUGAUUAUUGAAAUUCUUGAUCAUCAACGAGGAAUUCCUAGUAAGCGCAAGUCAGCAGCUUGCGUUGAUUACGUCCCUGCCCUUUGUACACACCGCCCGUCGCUACUACCGAUUGAAUGGUUUAGUGAGAUCUUCGGAUUGGCGCCACUGCGGCUCAGCAAUGGGCUCGGUGGAUGCCGAAAAGUUGAUCAAACUUGAUCAUUUAGAGGAAGUAAAAGUCGUAACA